GCUGACCAACUCUUCCAACAGCAUUUCUUCAGUAGUCGUCCCACUCUGUAUUUCGUACUAGAGGGGUAAAUUCUCAAUCCUGCUGAUGACCACCAUGCCCUCGAUGCCCUAAAGUGAAGCCGUGAUACUCCCGCCUCGACCCUGCCCGAGAUACUAUCGCGUUCUCUGGAGACCUUACAGUCUCUGAAGCGUGUGUGCAUUCUUGGGCAAUGUCCAGGGAGUGGUGAUGAUCUUGACCUAACAGAGGCGUCUCUGACUUCGGUCGGUCUCUGUGGGUGGGUGUCGAGGAGGUCUGAAGGAU
rnacentral:snoRNA from 1 species